AAAAGUAACAAAGGGUGUUUAGUGGAUGCCUUGGCAAUCAGAGGCGAUGAAGGACGUGAAAGACUGCGAUAAGUUCCGGCGAGCCGUCAAUAUGCUUUGACCCGGAAAUGUCCGAAUGGGGAAACCCACUGCUUUAUGCAGUAUCAUGCACUGAAUACAUAGGUGUAUGAAGCGAACGCGGAGAAGUGAAACAUCUCAGUAUCCGCAGGAAAAGAAAUCAACCGAGAUUCCCAAAGUAGUGGCGAGCGAAAUGGGACCAGCCCAGUGGCUGAGUUAUUAGUUAGCAAAACGGUAUGGAAAGGCCGGCAAUAAUGGGUGAUAGCCCCGUAUGCGAAAACUAGUGAUUUGGUCCAAGAGUAGAGCGGUACACGUGAAAUUCCGUUCGAAUAUGGGGGGACCUUCCUCCAAGGCUAAAUACUCCUGAUUGACCGAUAGUGAACAAGUACCGUGAGGGAAAGGUGAAAAGAACCGCGAAGGCGGAGUGAAAUAGAACUGAAACUGAACACUUACAAGCUGUCAGAGCGGGUUUUCCCGUGAUGGCGUACCUUUUGUAUAAUGAGCCAACGAGUUACGAUUGCAUGCAAGCCUAAGCCGUUAGGUGUAAGCGAAGGGAAACCGAGUCUGAAUAGGGCGAAUUAGUAUGCAGUCGUAGACCCGAAGCGGGGUGAUCUAGGUAUGGGCAGGCUGAAGGUGGCGUAACAGUCACUGGAGGGCCGAACGCACCAAUAUGGCAACAUUGGGCGAUGACCUGUGUCUAGGGGUGAAAAGCCAAUCGAACCCCGUUAUAGCUGGUUCUCCGCGAAAACUAUUGAGGUAGUGUCUCAUAUGUUCGUCAUUGGGGGUAAAGCACUGAAAUGGCUAGGGGGAGUAAAAUCUUACCAAACCAUAUCAAACUCUGAAUACCAAUGAAUAAAUAGUAUGGGAAACAGUCUGUCGGUGCUAAGGUCGGCAGACGAGAGGGCAACAGCCCAGACCGCCAUCUAAGGUCCCAAAGUGAUAAUUAAGUGGGAAAGUGAGUCGAGAUUCCAAAACAACCAGGAUGUUGGCUUGGAAGCAGCCAUCGUUUAAAGAAAGCGUAAUAGCUCACUGGUCUAGUUAAGAAUUUCGGCAACCAAAAUGUAACGGGGCUAAAAUUAUCCACCGAAGAUGCGGGUGUCACGUAAGUGGCGCGGUAGCGGAGCAUUGUGUAAGUCUGUGAAGCCGAAGGCGCGAGCCACGGUGGAGAUAUCACAAGCGCGAAUGUUGGCAUGAGUAGCAGCUAAUCAAGGUGAGAAACCUUGACGCCGUAAGAGCAAGGGUUCCUGUCCAAUGUUAAUCAGGGCAGGGUGAGUCGACCCCUAAGGCGAGGCCGAAAGGCGUAGUCGAUGGGAAACAGGUUAAUAUUCCUGUACUCGGUGUUACUGCGAAGGGGGGACGGAGAAGGCUAUGUUAGCCGGGCGACGGUUGUCCCGGUUUAAGCAUGUAGGCGGAACGAUUAGGUAAAUCCGGUCGUUUAUUAACGCUGAGGUGUGAUGACGAGGCACUACGGUGCUGAAGUAACAAAUGCCCUGCUUCCAGGAAAAGCCUCUAAGCAUCAGGUAACAUCAAAUCGUACCCCAAACCGACACAGGUGGUCAGGUAGAGAAUACCAAGGCGCUUGAGAGAACUCGGGUGAAGGAACUAGGCAAAAUGGUGCCGUAACUUCGGGAGAAGGCACGCUGAUAUGUAGGUGAAGCCCCUGCGGGUGGAGCUGAAAUCAGUCGAAGAUACCAGCUGGCUGCAACUGUUUAUUAAAAACACAGCACUGUGCAAACACGAAAGUGGACGUAUACGGUGUGACGCCUGCCCGGUGCCGGAAGGUUAAUUGAUGGGGUUAGCGGCAACGCGAAGCUCUUGAUCGAAGCCCCGGUAAACGGCGGCCGUAACUAUAACGGUCCUAAGGUAGCGAAAUUCCUUGUCGGGUAAGUUCCGACCUGCACGAAUGGAUGAUGGCCAGGCUGUCUCCACCCGAGACUCAGUGAAAUUGAACUCGCUGUGAAGAUGCAGUGUACCCGCGGCAAGACGGAAAGACCCCGUGAACCUUUACUAUAGCUUGACACUGAACACUGGUCCUUGAUGUGUAGGAUAGGUGGGAGGCUUUGAAGCGUGGACGCCAGUCUGCGUGGAGCCGCCCUUGAAAUACCACCCUUUAAUGGCUGGUGUUCUAACGUAGACCCGUAAUCCGGGUUGCGGACAGUGUCUGGUGGGUAGUUUGACUGGGGCGGUCUCCUCCCAAAGAGUAACGGAGGAGCACGAAGGUUAGCUAAUCCUGGUCGGACAUCAGGAGGUUAGUGCAAUGGCAUAAGCUAGCUUGACUGCGAGAGUGACGGCUCGAGCAGGUGCGAAAGCAGGUCAUAGUGAUCCGGUGGUUCUGAAUGGAAGGGCCAUCGCUCAACGGAUAAAAGGUACUCCGGGGAUAACAGGCUGAUACCGCCCAAGAGUUCAUAUCGACGGCGGUGUUUGGCACCUCGAUGUCGGCUCAUCACAUCCUGGGGCUGAAGUAGGUCCCAAGGGUAUGGCUGUUCGCCAUUUAAAGUGGUACGCGAGCUGGGUUUAGAACGUCGUGAGACAGUUCGGUCCCUAUCUGCCGUGGGCGCUGGAGAAUUGAGGGGGGCUGCUCCUAGUACGAGAGGACCGGAGUGGACGCAUCACUGGUGUUCGGGUUGUCAUGCCAAUGGCAUUGCCCGGUAGCUAAAUGCGGAAAAGAUAAGUGCUGAAAGCAUCUAAGCACGAAACUUGCCCCGAGAUGAGUUCUCCCUGACCCUUUAAGGGUCCUGAAGGAACGUUGAAGACUACGACGUUGAUAGGUCGGGUGUGUAAGCGCAGCGAUGCGUUGAGCUAACCGAUACUAAUGAACCGUGAGGCUUAACCUU
rnacentral:rRNA from 1 species